rnacentral:rRNA from 1 species
UCGCGGAUCAGCAUGCCGCGGUGAAUACGUUCCCGGGCCUUGUACACACCGCCCGUCACACCAUGAGAGUUGGCAACACCCGAAGUCAGCAGGCAAACAGUGAAGCCGCUGCCGAAGGUGGGGUUGAUGAUUGGGGUGAAGUCGUAACAAGGUACC